rnacentral:misc_RNA from 1 species
UUUUUUUUUUUUUUUUUUGGGAAAUUUACUUUGUGCCCUUCUUUAUCUUUGUUUUUUUUGAUCUUUUUCUUAAAGGCUAGGCUCAAUGAAUUGGAUUUGGAGGUUGAGGCAAGACUCAAAGCAAGUGUUGGUUUUGUACUCAGUCCUACUUCCUUUCACAUAAUCACUACUGCAUUAGGAGAAAGUCGACCAAUAAAUUCUAUGGAACCUAUUCCUUCAACAUCUCAACACAAAAGUUGUAAAGGGGCCCUUGUUACUCAAUCAAGUGAAGACAAUGCUCAUGCAAAGAAGGAUUCCUUAGCAGUUCAUUCUCUUGAAGCUUCUGAGCUCUCUACUUUUUGUGGCCAAAAUGUCUUGCUUCGAUUUCUGCAUCAGGCUACUACACUUGCUUCGAAGAGUUUGCAAGACAACUUUGGUUAUACUCCAUUAGCUAAGAUUCCUUUACUAGCCAAAAUUGUUUUUGAGGUUCUUGAUGACUUUCAGGAAUGUGAUAAGAUUGAUACCUCGAUUCCUAAGGAAAGAUUUGAGGGGCUCCUUAAAAACAUUGAUAGAGUGAGCCAAUUGGAAUCUUCUUUCCCUUCCAGCAUAUCAUUAGAUUGUCAAGUCAAGAAACUUAAUAAGCUUAAAGAAGAAUUGGAUAACUUUAACUAUUGAAAAGGAAGUCACUAAUAAGUUCUCCUCCUUGCAAGCUGAAUUAAUUAAAGUUGAUGAAGAGCUAAAAGAGUUGAAUUCCAAGAAGGAAAGACUUUUACCUUCAUUGGGAGGAGUUGAGAAGGAUCCACAAGAUAGGCAAAGUGAUGUUUCAAGAAUACGAGAGAAGAUCUCUAAUGUUGAGAAUACUCCUGUCCGUGGUGAAACUCGGCCACCACACACCCCUUAAUGGUCUUUCGAGUCUUAUACACAAUAUCAAAUUCAAACAGUAGGAUCAACCAUUUAGCCAACUUUUCAACUAGGGCUGGAACCUUAAACAGGUACAUCAAAGGAUUCAUUAUAGACACAACAAUAACUUUAUUACAUGAGUAGUGCCUUAGUUUCUUGGUUGCCCAUACAAUAGCUAAACAUGUCCCUUCUGCAAAUGGCUCUUUCAAGACUUUCAACCUCUUGUGCCAACAUUGCCCCUAAGGCUACCUCUUCUAUUGACAAGUAAAGGAUUAAAUGAAUCAUAGGAAUUGGUGGUGACAAAAUAAGCAAGUUGCUCAAAAUCUAUUUUAUCUUUUCAAAUGCUUGUUGACACUACUCAUUCCACACCACUAGUUGAUUCUUCCUUAGUAAUUUGAAAAUUGGUUCACAAGUAAUUGUGAGUCUAGUUAAGAACCUACUCAUGUAUUGCAAUUUUCCUAGGAAUCCUCUAACUUCCUUU